rnacentral:lncRNA from 1 species
GGGAGGGGUCCCUUGGCUCUGAGGCCCUGUUACCCCACCCCUUCCAGUCCCCAUACCCAGAUCUUAGUACAGAGACACUUCGUGGACAAACACACCUCCUGGUGUCAUCACAAUCAGUUUAUAUUUUCUAGUUUUUCGACAAUAGCAGAUAUUUACAUUUUUUUCCAAAUAAGAAUCCUUACCCCCAGAGGAAAAAUUGUUUGGUGGUCACCGAAGCCCAUGGCAAUCAGUACCACACGAAGGAUGGAACCAAGGAGGAAAAGACUGGAAGGAAAUACACUGAAACUCUACAGGGAGCUUUGUUUGGAUGGUGGCACCCACGUUGGAAAAAGCCAACAUCUGCAAGUCUCCCCAGACAAUGCUCUCCAGCCUCUCUCUGCCUGUGUCACACGGCGCUCCAUUCCCAAGCAGAACAAGGGCUCCUGGCCAGAGGUUUACAAGUGUCCUCUCUGCUUCCUCUUGCUGGAUUGGUUUGCUCAAGAAACAUGGGGCAGGAGACAGAGAUGAAGGGUCAGGUCAGGGACCUCCACAGAGAGUACCAUACCCUCCGGGAGGAGUAACUAGGGAGAUGAUGGAGAAUCUUCCUCUUGGUCUUGGUCCUGCUUGUUGUUCAGUGGCUCAGUCGUGUCUGACUCUUUGCGACCUCAUGGACUGCAGCACGCCAGGCACCUCCAUCCUACCUUAUCUCCCAGAGCUUGCUCAAACUCACGUCCAUUGAGUUGAUGAUGCCAUCCAACCAUCUCAUCCUCUGCUGCCCCCUUCUCCUCCUGCCUUCAAUCUUUCCCAGCAUCAGGGUCUUUUCCAAUGAGUUGGCUCUUCACAUCAGGUGGCCAAAGUAUUGGAGCUUCAUCUUCAGUAUCAUUACUUUCAAUGAAUAUUCAGAGUUGGUUUCCUUUAGGAUGGACUGGUUUGAUCUCCUUGUAGUCCAAAGGACCCUCAAGAGUCUUCCCCAGCACCACAGUUUGACAGCAUCGAUUCUUUGAUCCUGCUUACAGGGAGAAAAAAUACUCCCCAUACUUCAUAAUAACAGGCCAGACUUGUGUGAGUUUUGGGGCUGAUUUUGUCUCAGUUUUGUGGUCCAGAAGUUAGUUUGAACCACAAAAGUUAGUUUGAAGUAGACCUUCAUGCAAGAGCCAGACAGAAGUGAAUACAAAUAUCUCUGGAAGAGGUGCUUUCAACCCAGGCCUCAGAGAGUUCCCUGAGACAAAGAUCACUGAUCAUGAGCUCACAAAUAAACUCAGAAGUGAAAUCA